rnacentral:rRNA from 1 species
AUUGAACGCUGGCGGCAGGCCUAACACAUGCAAGUCGAAUGGUAACAGGAAACAGCUUGCUGUUUCGCUGACGAGUGGCGGACGGGUGAGUAAUGUCUGGGAAACUGCCUGAUGGAGGGGGAUAACUACUGGAAACGGUAGCUAAUACCGCAUAACGUCGCAAGACCAAAGAGGGGGACCUUCGGGCCUCUUGCCAUCAGAUGUGCCCAGAUGGGAUUAGCUAGUAGGUGGGGUAACGGCUCACCUAGGCGACGAUCCCUAGCUGGUCUGAGAGGAUGACCAGCCACACUGGAACUGAGACACGGUCCAGACUCCUACGGGAGACAGCAGUGGGGAAUAUUGCACAAUGGGCGCAAGCCUGAUGCAGCCAUGCCGCGUGUAUGAAGAAGGCCUUCGGGUUGUAAAGUACUUUCAGCGGGGAGGAAGGGAGUAAAGUUAAUACCUUUGCUCAUUGACGUUACCCGCAGAAGAAGCACCGGCUAACUCCGUG